rnacentral:lncRNA from 1 species
CAGGUAUGUCUGGGGCACGAAGAAUGAAGUGAUUAUCUCUGCAGGUCCUCCUGUUUUCAAGGAGACUUUGAAUAAAGCAGAAAUAAUGAGCACCUGAACCAAGGCAUCAACACGGGGCUGGAGAGGACUAGAAGCACUAAUAAAGUCCAAUCCACAGCUGUUAUUAAAACUGUAAGCGGGAGGAUAGAGGUCCUAUUUCAUGACUGAGGAGCUUUGGUGGAUACUACAGCCACACAUUUGGAUGGAAGGUAGACGACCGGAUAAUUCUUGUGCUCUGAAUGGAAGCAGUUUAUUGAGCUUCCUCCCACCCCAGUACAAUAAAUGAAGAGACUCACAAGAUUAAGGAGUGAUAAGAGUACACCGCUUCAAAAAAAAACAAAUCCUGUGCAAGGGGAAUAGUGAGCAAAUGAGGUCUGAUCCUUUCAAAGGCGGGAGACAGGAAUUCUGUUUGCAUGUUACCAGAGAUGUCCAAAUGCCUGUCACUUUUUCCUUAAUGUGGUAAGUAAUCACUCUUUCCUUUCAUUAGUACAUCCAUAGCAUUUACUAAGAACCACCUAAUUUCUUUACUCUUUAAUUAUGACUUCCCACACAUCUAUCAGCUGCCAGGGAUAUUGCAACUGCUAGUGCAUUCUCUUCCACUGUUCCCCUAUUCCCAUUCUCCACCAGUGGAAGUUUUAACAGCCACAUGGCUACUGCAUGCUACGGUCUACUCAAAAUCCACUCCAGACCAGGGAGGGUCAGACAAUUGGCAAGAGACGUUAUGCACCUGUAAAAUCUCACUAUAAAGUCUUCUUCUUCAGACUAGUUUUAGUAUGAAGUGUCUGAGGUGGGAUUCUCUGGAAACUAGUCUUUGAGGUUGAGAUACUCUGGCAGGAAAUGUAUGGAGAGCACUCCAGUGAUAGAUGUGGGUGAGUAAAAGGACAAGGCUGGUUACAGGGAGGCAAACUGCGAUGCCCUUGGAAGAAACGACCCAGCCAAUAUCAUAGGGAAUCUGGAGGUUGGAAAGUUCUUGAAAUUUGCCCAGAAUUGAGGUAUCAUAUGCUGUAUCCUGGAAAAAAAAUCACUGGCUGCAGCUCCUCCCAGACGGCAAGACUCACCUUAAGCAAAGAAGCAAUCUUUGGCUGAGGGCAAGUCCUGAGGAAAGUGUAGGCAAUCUCCUUGAGAGACUCACUGUGAGCCUUCAGCUGACAACGCUGUCCACAGCUGUGAGGAUUAAGGCUUCUAUCAGGAACUAAAGAUCAGGGAAGCAUCUAUGGCUCUUAGAAAUCCAGGAAAAAAAAAAAAAAAAAAAACUAGCAGAGAAAAAUCUUUAGUUUAAGGAUGUAUUAAUGUGAGACAGAAGUCCUAUCCGCUCUACAAUCCAUGAGACAAAUUGUGACAGAGUCCUCCAGUACCAGUAUUAAAAGCAAUCCAAGUGUUUCAUUCAGCCAAA